rnacentral:rRNA from 1 species
UACGUAGGGUGCGAGCGUUAAUCGGAAUUACUGGGCGUAAAGCGUGCGCAGGCGGCUUUGCAAGACAGAUGUGAAAUCCCCGGGCUCAACCUGGGAACUGCAUUUGUGACUGCAAGGCUAGAGUACGGCAGAGGGGGAUGGAAUUCCGCGUGUAGCAGUGAAAUACGUAGAUAUGCGGAGGAACACCAAUGGCGAAGGCAAUCCCCUGGGCCUGUACUGACGCUCAUGCACGAAAGCGUGGGGAGCAAACAGG